AAGGUAAACCAGUCUAUCGCUUUGCAUUGAUUGCAAAGAGGAAAGUCUGGGCAGCAAAGAGUACUGUGCUUCUUAACGGGAAGGCGCAUCCUAGGAUGUGACAGAAAGUGCCACAGAAAGGAAGACUACCAAAAACGCAAGUUGUUGGAAAAGGUGAAAAGGUGGGGUAAGAGCUCACCGGAUUGUUGGUGACAAUAAUCGCUUGGUAAACCUCACAGGCUGAAAAAUCAUGUAAACCUGGGCUUGAGAAUUGCUCGUUCGACUAGGUGGGUAGAUUGAUGGAUUCCGAGAGUGAUUUCGGAACUAGAUAAAUGAUAGACUAUGCAAUUUUUUUUGCAGACACAGGACCCGGCUUAAGGUUUGCCUUUCUU
rnacentral:RNase_P_RNA from 1 species